rnacentral:rRNA from 1 species
UGGGGAAUUUUUCGCAAUGGGGGCAACCCUGACGAAGCAACGCCGCGUGGGUGAUGAAGUCUCUUGGGACGUAAAACCCUUUCGACGGGGAAGAAACCGCAAGGUUGACGGUACCCGUAGAAGAAGCCCCGGCUAACUCCGUGCCAGCAGCCGCGGUAAUACGGGGGGGGCGAGCGUUGUUCGGAAUUACUGGGCGUAAAGGGUGCGUAGGCGGUUCGUUAAGUUAGAUGUGAAAACUCUGGGCUCAACCCAGAGCCUGCAUCUAAAACUGGCGGGCUAGAGUUCUGGAGGGGGUAGCGGAAUUCCUGGUGUAGCGGUGAAAUGCGUAGAUAUCAGGAGGAACACCGGUGGCGAAGGCGGCUACCUGGACAGAGUCUGACGCUGAGGCACGAAAGCUAGGGGAGCAAACAGGAUUAGAUACCCCGGUAGUCC